rnacentral:rRNA from 1 species
GGGCGAUAUGUACACAUCUGAGAGCCAUUUCACCUCUCCAUAUUUAAGGAGAUUACUAUCAAAUCCUAUUUCACCGAAAGAUUCUCCCCAAGCUCCACUUAUUCCUUAAUUGUAACCAACCUGCACCCUAAAAUACCACACCAAAUCGAACAUAAUUGUUACCUUGAAAAUACUUGUAUAAAAGGUAUUAUUCGGACGGUAUAUGAAUUAGAUAAGGUAAGAUACAACGCGGUGACACGAUUCCGAAGCAGGUUCCUCUGAGUGGAUCAGAUGCCGCCAAGUCCUCUGGGUUUUAAGAAAAUAGCUACUACUACCCCACCUCGAAUAGCUCUGAAAAAAGAGGGUAUC